rnacentral:rRNA from 1 species
UACGUAGGGUGCGAGCGUUGUCCGGAAUUAUUGGGCGUAAAGAGCUUGUAGGUGGUUUGUCGCGUCUGCUGUGAAAAUCCGAGGCUCAACCUCGGACUUGCAGUGGGUACGGGCAGACUAGAGUGUGGUAGGGGAGACUGGAAUUCCUGGUGUAGCGGUGAAAUGCGCAGAUAUCAGGAGGAACACCGAUGGCGGAAGGCAGCUCGCUGGGACGGUGACU